rnacentral:rRNA from 1 species
GACGAACGCUGGCGGCGUGCUUAACACAUGCAAGUCGAACGGAAAGGCCCUGCUUUUGUGGGGUGCUCGAGUGGCGAACGGGUGAGUAACACGUGAGUAACCUGCCCUUGACUUUGGGAUAACUUCAGGAAACUGGGGCUAAUACCGGAUAGGAGCUCCUGCUGCAUGGUGGGGGUUGGAAAGUUUCGGCGGUUGGGGAUGGACUCGCGGCUUAUCAGCUUGUUGGUGGGGUAGUGGCUUACCAAGGCUUUGACGGGUAGCCGGCCUGAGAGGGUGACCGGCCACAUUGGGACUGCGAGACGGACCAGACUCCUACGGGAGGCAGCAGUGGGGAAUAUUGCACAAUGGGCGGAAGCCUGAUGCAGCAACGCCGCGUGCGUGAUGACGGCCUUCGGGUUGUAAACCGCUUUCGCCUGUGACGAAGCGUGAGUGACGGUAAUGGGUAAAGAAGCACCGGCUAACUACGUG